rnacentral:lncRNA from 10 species
AUUAAAGGUAUGUUGUUCUAUUUAUUUAUUUAUUUUAGAGAUGGGUUCCCACUACUUUGCCAGGGCUGGACUCGAACUCCUGGGCUUGAGUGAUCCUCAUGUCUCAGCCUCUGGAACAGCUGUGACUAUUGGCCUGUGCCACUGCAGCCAGAGGUGUUCUGUCAUUUUUAAAGAAUAGAAAAUAGUGAUUUUUUUUUAUGGAAUAUGUGGCAAUAUUAUUGAAUGUCUUACCUUCUUAGGAAAGAAAAUGAAGUGGUUGAAAACAAAGUUAGAGCUGAAGAGUUAAGUUUCUGGUGCCUGCGUUGGAGAGUUUUGCUGAUUGAUCCUGUCAUUUUUAAACAAUAUAUGCUACCAAAAAAGAAAGUCUUCUAAGCCCCAGGGUCCAGUGCUGGUGAGAGGCCACGUGGCAAAUGCAAAGUGCCUAGAGUGUAAAGUAGCAGAAGGCUGCCUUAAAACCCCAGCUUCCCCACGUACACUGUGAGCCUGGCCAAGUUCCCUGAGAUCUCUGAACCUCAGUUCCUCGUUCGUUACAUGACGGAAAUCGUGUUGACCUCAUAGGGUUUACUGUGAGAAUUGAAUGAGAGACGGGGUUUCACUACGUUGCCCAGGUUGGUCUGGAACUCCAGGACUCACUCAAUCUUCUAGCCUCGGCCUCCCAAGGUGCUGGGAUUACAGGCGUGAGCCACCGUGCCUACUCGAAUGAGGUAAUUCUUGACAAAAUAAAUGUGUGGCUAGUACAUCUUAACAUGCUUUUCUUGCUGUACUUGUCUCUGUAGCAAGUGCUGGCUGUGCAUUAGCUUUCUUGUCCCCUUCACCCCUUUGGUAGUGGAGCCUGGAGAGAAUUUACUUGGGAACUCAAGUGUGCCAGCAAAGGAGACACAAUUGAUGAGGGUACUAAGCACACUGUUUGGGUGAUGAUGUUUUUCAAAACAAUAUCAUUAGAUCUUCACAUACAGAGCUGGGAGAUAACAUAGUCCCUAUGACAGAUGUUAGACUAGGACCCCAAAUGACCUCGUAUGGUGUGCCAGUGUCUUCUUCAUUUGCUCCAAGGACACAGCAUGAAUAGAAUAGGCUUUGCCAUCAGCAAGGGCCCUCUCCUAGUUUUUCCCUAGCAUUUCAGAUGCUUGGCACCUGUAACCGGAUUUUCCCUGCACUGAGAGUCAGUGUGUCUUGAUGAAAUGAGCACUGGUUUGGAGUCAGAAGACCUGGGCUGGUAUCAUGCCCCUGCAGCUUAGUUGACAUGUGUUUGGAUGAGUCACUUCUCUGAACAUAUCUUUAUCAUCUAUAAAAUAGGCAUCCUAAUAAUAUUUCCUAAACACUUAUUCUGACAAGGUUUUAUGAGGACCAGAAGAAAUAAGGAAAGGCAAAGCUUUGUAAAUCGGAGAUGCCUCACCAGCACUAUCAUUCCUGUGACUUCCGAUCACCAAGGAGAAGGGACCAGCUUUUAGCACACAGAGCCUGGGAUGGUAGAAUGCCAGACAUUUCACAGUCCAUUGGGGGUGAUCUAUGGCAGAUGGUGUUCCUAGCACCUUUUUCAAAUUGG